rnacentral:rRNA from 1 species
UAGGGAAUCUUCGGCAAUGGACGAAAGUCUGACCGAGCAACGCCGCGUGAGUGAAGAAGGUUUUCGGAUCGUAAAACUCCGUUGGUAGAGAAGAACGUUGGUGAGAGUGGAAAGCUCAUCAAGUGACGGUAACUACCCAGAAAGGGACGGCUAACUACGUCNCGA